rnacentral:misc_RNA from 1 species
UCGCGGCUUAUCACCGGCAGUCCCCUUAGAGUGCCCAACUGAAUGAUGGCAACUAAGGGCGAGGGUUGCGCUCGUUGCGGGACUUAACCCAACAUCUCACGACACGAGCUGACGACAGCCAUGCAGCACCUGUGUGCAGGUCCCCGAAGGGAAGGAAUCCAUCUCUGGAAGCCGUCCUGCCAUGUCAAGGGCUGGUAAGGUGGGGAUGACGUGUGCGUAACAGAA